rnacentral:rRNA from 1 species
AAGCGCUUGUGACCAGACUUGUGCCCGGCGGAUCAACCAGCGUUCUCGCUGGUGCACUCCUCCGGGCUCAGGCCAGCAUCGGUUUUCAUAGGGGGAUAAAAGCCUUGGGAAUGUGGCUCCUCCGGGAGUGUUAUAACCC